UCCUUCCGCUGGGCCCCGGAGUACAGCAGACCCCAUGGUACUGUUCUGAGCUCAGCACAGUGCUAACCACAGAGGUUGCCCAGAUCUGGAACUCAGUCUUUCCCCAACUGCUGUGGUUUGGGACUAGACAGACACACGCAGAAUGACUAGAAUCUAAGAUGACAAGGGUGCAAGAAAUUAUGUGUGAAAUACAAGGAGUCAGUGCAAAGGGUGUGGACGGACAACUCCAGGCAUACUUGAGCUAUUUAUGCACUAGUUUUUCAUUCCCCCUAUAACCAGAUGUGGAGGACUGUUUUGUUUUUUUUGUUUUUUUUUCUUUCCCCAUUUGGCAGAGGAAAGAAACUAAGAAAACAAGGGGGAAAGCUUUCCCAGAGUCCCAUAGCUCAUAAGCAAGCCGGACUUGGUGCCCAACAACCUGGCAUCAGGAGGCUAGGCCCACUGUCACAUGGUGCACAUGCCUCCCAGGGAGCAGAGUCUCGGGGUCUGUCCAGGGAUGCUUGGGUAGGGAAGGGAAAUGGUAGAGAAUGAAUGGUGGGUAUGUGGGUUGAUGACACCAGGGCACCCUGGGGAGCAGGGGCAGGAGGCUCUGCCAUGUGUGCUCAUGGGGAACGGGGGACAGCCUGGGUACAUGGACAGUUGUUCCAGGGAAGAGGCAAGGCCAGGGGGUUGUACAAGGUGGGCAGGAGUUGCUGCCGUCCUUUCACCAGUGCUUUCGGAUUAGUCUUUGUCCCUUGUUUACCCUCCUUCUCAGAGUCCCAGCUGUCCUCAGGGUCAUUACCGAAAAUUUCAUCCCACAUCCAUUUACGUUUCAAGCAGCGAAGCGUCUCCAGCCUCCCCGAGAAAAUGAUUCCACAGCCCCGUUGUCCAGGAAACUUGCGUCCUCGCUGUUCCCUGCUCUGCAAACCUCAUCCAAAAGCCCCUGGUCGCCGCCACUUAGCAAAGCUGCAUGGAUUUAGCCCCUUUAAUCUUCUCUGGUAAAUUAAUCCCCCAAGCGCCUUCAUUACUUAUGUUGCUCUUCCCCGAAUUCCCUUCAAUUUGCCACUGCCUCUGCAGUACUGCUGAGCCCAGCACCAACAAGAUGGCCCCACAUGGCCAGGCUCCUGGCCUGGGGCACACACGCACCAACAAGAUGGCCCCACAUGGCCAGGCUCCUGGCCUGGGGCACACAAGCACCAACAAGAUGGCCCCACAUGGCCAGGCUCCUGGCCUGGGACACACACGCACCAACAAGAUGGCCCCACAUGGCCAGGCUCCUGGCCUGGGACACACACGCACCAACAAGAUGGCCCCACAUGGCCAGGCUCCUGGCCUGGGACACACACGCACCAACAAGAUGGCCCCACAUGGCCAGGCUCCUGGCCUGGGGCACACAAGCACCAACAAGAUGGCCCCACAUGGCCAGGCUCCUGGCCUGGGGCACACACGCACCAACAAGAUGGCCCCACAUGGCCAGGCCAGCGGCAGUGUAGUCAAAUUUCUGUACCCCUCCACCCUUGAGCCCACAAAGUUCUUGUCUACCUUCAGCUCCCACCUGUGUCUACUGUGCCUAGUAGAUACUGACCUCACCCCUCUGAUGCACCCUGGGGAACUUGCUGCUAGAAAGCCUGGGAGCUCUUUAAGGAGGGGCCACAGCUUCCAAAAACUGAAGCAAAGACUGAUGUGUGUGCAGUGUGCUCUGGAGCAAGGGGCUGUAGCUUUGUCAUGUAAUCACGUGUGUGUGGUGUUGUUUGGUUAGGUUUGGCUUGAGAUGAGCCUUGUGUGGCCCUGGCUGGUCUUGAGCUUCCUGUGUAGCUGCUCCUUGAGCCAGUCCUCUGCCCCUUCCAGAUACUGUGGUCACAGGUGUGUGCCACCACACUCCACUCUGGGCUUUUUUGUUUUUUCAGGUUUGAUUUUAUUUUUUGAGAUAUGUUCAUUCUAUUAUACUGCUUGUUGGAGAAAUGACAGUUUAGUCCCAGGCCUGUCACUCUCUCAGUAGGAAAACCAAUAACCAAAAUGGGGACAUCUCUCCACCCAAGUCUAUACAUAGCUUCAUAAUAACAAGGCCCAGAUUCGGCCUGGGCUGUAUAACUCUAGAGCAUAUGCCUAAUGUGAGCCCUGGGUUCCAUCCCAGCACUGUGUGUGUGUGUGUGUGUGUGUGUGUGUGUGUGUGUGUGUGUGUGUGUGUGUGUGCACAUGCACAUAAUCUAAAGGUGAGGAGUCCUGCAUUCAUGAGUCCUGUACAAUCAGCCUCUCUCCACAGAUUCAACUCCUUCCUCCCUGUUCUGAUAGUGGACUUGCAUUGCCCUGGGUUCUGUAGUGCCACUGUGGUCCCUGAGUCUCAGACCAUCUAUCUGCAUGGGACUAUUUUAACUGCACCCCCCAUCCUUUUUCCCACCUCAAUCAGGGAGCCCCCCCCCCCAUGCCAUGCU